rnacentral:rRNA from 1 species
UACGUAGGGUGCAAGCGUUGUCCGGAAUUAUUGGGCGUAAAGAGCUCGUAGGCGGUUUGUCGCGUCUGCUGUGAAAACUCGGGGGCUUAACCCCGGGCCUGCAGUGGGUACGGGCAGACUAGAGUGCGGUAGGGGGAGACUGGGAAUUCCUGGUGUAGCGGUGAAAUGCGCAGAUAAUCAGGAGGAACACCGGUGGCGAAGGCGGCAUCCUGGACCAACACUGACACUGAGGAGCGAAAGCCAGGGGAGCAAACGGG